UACGUAGGGGGCGAGCGUUGUCCGGAUUCAUUGGGCGUAAAGCGCGCGCAGGCGGCGCGGCGAGCCCGGCGUGAAAGCCCCCGGCUCAACCGGGGGAGGCCGUCGGGGACCACCGCGCUGGAGGCCGGCAGGGGCGAGCGGAAUUCCCGGUGUAGUGGUGGAAUGCGUAGAGAUCGGGAGGAACACCGGUGGCGAAGGCGGCUCGCUGGGCCGGUCCUGACGCUCAGGCGCGAAAGCGUGGGGAGCGAUCCGGAUUAGAUAC
rnacentral:rRNA from 1 species